AACAGUCACCAAAAGGAAUAAUUAUUUGAGAUAAACAAUAUUCAGAUAACACAGGUCUUUAAUUAGAAAAAUGGUAUGAUUUCUGCAUUGAUGUAGUCUGUGAUAGUUGUAGCCUAAAGAGCAGAGGACAUUGAAAGCUGCAGCAUUAGUUGAUACCAUUGAUGUUUGCUUUUCAAUUAAAUUUUGGAUAAUAACAGAUGAGAAAUAUAUGGAUUUUUAAAAAUCAUGGAGCUAUUCUGUGUUACUCUUUUCAUUCUUGUCUGGAAAUGUAUCUCUGUACUUACCUAUGUCUAUACAGGUCUAUCUAAACAUAUCUCUCCCACAACCCAAAGACCAACAUGACAGUCAUUUAGUCAUUAAUGAAGCUAUCAAGUUGCUCUACUGUGUGUGUAGAUGCUUUAUUUAAAAUAUUUUACUUUCCUAUUCAGUUCCUAUUCAAUUAAAAU